rnacentral:lncRNA from 1 species
CCAAAUGCAGGAUCAAACAAGGUACCUCGCGCGAAGGCGAGUCCAGAGAUACAAUCACCAACGUAUUUUACAUCACAGAUACUUAUAUUACAAGAGUUUGCAGAAGUAGCAAAAGUUCUAGACUGAUAGAAGUUAUUACAAACCAGUUUAAAAGUUCAAGUUCAUAGCAGCGGAAUUCAAAGUACGAUAAUUAUACACAUCGCCACUAUGGACAUCAUGCUAAGCCAUGGCAUGAUAUCACUCGUUAUGAUCAGUGUUGGCCAGGGACGGGUCCCACUCCACGGACCAACCAUUGGGAAGAGCAUAGGGCCAUGGUACAGGUGGGGCAGAGUCCUCAGGAGGAUUACCUGAACAAAAGUCACAAUGCAAGGCUGAGUAUUCUAAUACUCAGCAAGACUUACCCGUUUCAUGGUAUACUUAGCCAUGUAACUAGAAUAUGAAAGCUGGUAAUGGUUUCGGGUGAAAUUUUAGCUGAAAAGCAACAAAGAGUAGGUCCUUAAUUUCAGUUUUUAGCUUUCAAGUUCUAGGUAAUUAUCCAUUCUAAGUAAGCAACUAUAGCUACUCAAACAAGGUAGAACUUUCUGGACAAACAUCAUCUUUAAUCAUCAUCAAGUUGCUCUUAUUACUCUAUAUGGCAAAGGGAUCAAGCAGUCUCAAUCUCCGUGAGAAAUGGACGAUUCUGAAUCGAAUUUUUCAACCUUGCAAGGCAAACCUAACUCACACGCUUGGAACAUCCAAUGAUCAUUCCAAAGCAACCAUUUGCCUUUCAUUCCGACUCGUGGAUCAGUGCCACCACAAGUGACUGUAGGAUGAUACGCACAUCCAAUAUGCAGGACGUACGUCUGUAGUGCGACUACAUGACCGUACUCCUGUCCGCUAUGCGGAACGUACUCCCGCAUGUCGGUGCGUGAGAAAAACCAAAUUACGAGUGGUGGGGGGUAUGUCCACUCCUCGGGCCGAUCGGAUACUAGGCUUACCGCUUACCAUAUUUCGCGGCAUAUGGCUAGUACUUUCAAACGCUUAACCACCGGUAUCACACACUGCGACCUUAUCAAGUUUUCAUCAACACAGACGGGGUUUCUUAUCAAGGUCAUGAAUCAUGAUCACAACCCCAUUCGUCAUCCUUAUAGUGGUUGCAGCAAUGUAAACAUUGUAACUCCUAUAAAGCUUGCGAGUGACAGGCAAUCACUCGACUUCUACCGGUCCUAUUAGCUUAGCAACUAGUCGGACUCAGCUUCUAGUAUUCAAUACAUAGGUUCCUAGGAAUAUGCAACUAAGAUUUCAAAGUAAUUCCUGGAAACGUAAUGCACAAAUAGACAUAUAUAAAUAGAUGUAAUUGCAGUGUGGUAAAUAAAAUAGCGGUUUAUGUCCGGGGCUUGCCUUCUUGGGUGGGGCUGUGGUCAGCGAUGUUAAAAAUCGCCGAAUUUUGGUUUGGGACUUCAGUUAAUUCCUCGGUGAUGUUUUCUUGGCCUUCCAAAAUGCUCUGCUCGGGCUCCGGAAUCAACUCGUAGGUUCCGUCGGCGAGUAUAGUCGAAUCUACAUGAUAUGCAGUGAUUUGAAACAAUGGUCGUUGAUUUAAGAACUUCACUCCAUGAUAGAGUUGCAAUUCAACAAAGCUAAUUAACCUUUUCUAUGAACAGUCAUUUAUCGAGUAUUACUUUAUAUUAACUUCAUUAAAUGGCAUGUGGAGUUACUUUAAACAAUUAAGCUAAUUACAUUAAGUACUAUUGAAAAAGAUCCUAAUUUAUUUAUAUCAGAGGUUCUAUACUAGGUCUUGUGUUGAAAUUUGGUGAGCAUAUUAUACUACUUAAAAGUGACACUCUUAUUAAAUUUCAUAAAUUUUCAUAAAUCAGAACUAUUAUUCCUGAAUUAGCUUUGAGUCUAAGCUUUGUUUCCUAACUUAAGUUACUCUAUUCUACUGAUGUUCAAAAUUUUAUCAUGGAUUACUCAUGGUGAAAGAAGGUUAGGGUAAAAUUUUCAACCACUAAUACUAAUGGAUUCACUCUUGAAUAAAUCCUAAAGCUUUGAUCAACUUAAAACCAAGAUACUUGAAAACUAUAGCUAGGAAACACUUCUAAGUCUACAAAUUUUACAUGAAGCUAUACAUGGAAUACACAUCCUAAGUUUCAAUUUUCAGCAUCAGCACAAUUAUAGAUCUAAAGACCUAAUUAACAUAUCCAUUUCCUAGUAUUUAUUUUUACUUCAAAAUAUUCUCCUAAUCAGCUCAAGAUUAUAACACAAAAUUUGUAGAAUUCACUUCCAAGAUUCAAACAAAAUUGGUCUGAUAUUUUUCUGAAUUUUCUACAAAUUUCUACAAAUUUCUAAAGAUCACUGAUUUCAAAAAGAGGGGAGGGACUGGAAUCUUGCAGCCAGGCCCUCGGGAAGAUUUAAAGCAUCGUAAUUGGGUCCCUGCUCAUCGGGAUAGAGAAGCCGAGGGAUGCCGGUCAGAUUCUGGCGAUGGCGGCCGGCGGCGAGGGGAAACCGGCCAGGAAGGUUCAAGGAACUAGGGCGAACCUUUCUGGGGGUGAUGUGCAGGUUGGAGAUGACCGGAGUAGGUGAAACGAUGGCGACCCGAGACGGUGGCGGUGGAGCUCGGCGAUGGCAACGGCGUUCCGGUGGCCGGAGGGCAGGAGAGUGGUGGGGUAGUGGCUAGACAGCUUCCACGUGAUGAUGUGGUGCUGGUGGUGGACUUGUCGGGGGCUGACAGGCGGUGGGUCAAUGGGACGACGGCGUGGCCGAGCAGCGGCGGGAGCUCAAGCUCACCGGUGUAGUGGUCCGGUUGUUCUGGUGCAAGGGAGUGCAAUUGGGUGGGCUGGUGAGCUUCCGUGGGUCGCGGUGGUGCUCGAGGAGCACUGAGUCAGGGAUGGAAAGCGGAGGAGGAGGCUGUCAACAGCGAGGUGAUCGGCGGCAAAAGGUGGAUGCGGCGGUGAUCCAGUGGGGAAGAAGUCGAUCAAAGCGAGCGAUGGCCGUGCGAGUAGGUAUAUGUAGUGGAAGUGAGUUUCUGGGCAUGCUAUGGAACUUAGGAAUAGGCGCGGCGAGCACUAGCUGCUGCUGGCAGUCGGCGGCGCAUCGUGGCGGUCUAGCGGCGAUCGGGCAGAGGCGGGGUGGCGUGGCGCGCUCGGAAGAGAACCAGAGGGGAGGAGCUAGAGCGGUGGCCGGCCUAGAGACGACGUAGGGGAGCUACUGGAGUAGACAAUGGCGCCGGCAGAGCGGCAGCGGCGGUGAGCAGUGGUGGCCUGCGGCGGCAGAGAGAAGACAGCUCGGGCGGAUGGUAGGGCAUCGUGGCGUGCUCGGGGAGGGCCAGCAGAGAGGAGCUAAGGCGGCGGACGAGCUCUGGGAUGACGCGUGGAGCGGCGCUGGAGCAGUGGUCGGCCUCGGGCAACGCGGCAGCAGCAGUGGGCGACGGCGCUGUCGCACGGCAGAGGAGGCAGAGGAGGAAGAGGAACAGGGGGGAUUCUAGGGCUGAUUUGCAAAAUUAAAAGUUCCAGGGAGCUCUCUGUAAAUCAAAAUUUCCCACUAACCUAGAGCUCAAAUGAAGAAAUGGUCAACAUGAAAGUUGUAGAACUUUUUAAAUCCUACAACUCUGCUUUAGGGUUCAAGUUCAAAAACCUAAAGCACAAUGCUUUAUUUUACCAUUUUGCACUCAAAUCAAACUUUAAAUAAGUUUUGUCCUUCUCAAGGUAAAUUUCUUAUAACUUUGGACCUAAUUGCAAGCAUUAAUGACAUGUCAUGAUGACUUUCACCUUUUACAUUUUGACCCUUAGUAAUUUUUGGAUAUUACUUUUAUACCUCAACUAAAUUACAUAAAAGGACUUGUACUUUCAUAAAUUUACACAAAUACCCUUAUUUUCAUAACUUUGCUAACUUUUCACACAAUUUAAUCCACACCAAACAUUCUUCCUAUUGGCUUGUUCUAUUUAACACCUAGGGUGUCACAACCUUCCCCCCUAAAAGGAAUCUCGUCCCAAGAUUACAGAAAUGAUAUAAUAAGAGGGUAGAUACCUAAGAAUUCUUAAGGAAGUCUGGGAAGUUCUUCUGAAGGUAGUCUUCGGUUUCCCAGGUAGCUUCUUCUUUCAUGUGAUGAUUCCAUAAAAUCUUAUACAUCUUAAUCUUCCUUCUUCUAGUGACUCUCUCUUUGGUAUCAAGGAUCUGGAUGGGUUGUUCGAUAUAAGAUAGAUCAGGUUCGAUCUCAAUGGCUUGUGAUUCAAUGAUCUCAGUAGGUACUUUGAUGCAUUUCUUGAGUUGAGAGAUAUGGAAGACAUCAUGAAUAGCAGCCAAUUGAGAGGGAAGAUGAAUUCUGUAAGCCACUGGGCCACAGACUUCAAGGAUUUCGAAUGGUCUGACAUAUCGGGGUGCCAACUUCCCUUUUAUGCCGAAACGCUGAACACCUUUGGUAGGAGAUACUCGGAGAUAGACAAAAUCCCCUAUUUGAAAUUGUAAAGGUUUUCUUCUUUGAUCUGCAUAGCUCUUUUGUCUAGACUGGGCGGCUUUAAGAUUGGCUUGAAUAAUCUUGACCUUAUUUUCGGCUUCGGUAACUAAGUCUGGUCCGAAAAUUUGGCGUUCACCGGUCUCAGACCAAGUCAAAGGAGUUCGACAUCUUCGACCCAAAUGGAGCCAUUUGGAUACUGGACUGAUAGCUAUUGUUGUAAGAAAACUCAGCCAAGGCGAGACACUUAUCCUAGCUUGUACCAUAGUGAAUAAUACAAGCUCGGAGCAUGUCUUCAAGAAUUUGGUUGACUCGCUCAGUUUGUCCAUCAGUUUGUGGGUGAUAUGCAGAGCUUCGAAUUAGUUUGGUUCCAAGAGCAGACUGUAAUUGUUCCCAGAAGCAAGCAAUGAAUUGUGCCCCUCGAUCAAAAAUAAUGGUCUUAGGGACACCAUGCAAUCGAACAAUUUGAUCAAGAUAGACUUCGGCAUACUUCUUAGCAGUAUAAGUUGUAUGCAUGGGAAGAAAAUGAGCGAUUUUGGUAAGUCUAUCAAUGAUUACCCAGAUAGAGUCAUGUUUCUGAGAUGUGUUGGGAAGGCCAAUGAUAAAAUCCAUACUAAUGUCUUCCCACUUCCACGAUGGAAUAGACAGGGGUUCGAGUGUACCAGAUAUCUUUAGAUGAGUGGCCUUGACUCUCUGGCAUGUACCACAUCCGGACACAUAUUUAGCAAUUUCUCUUUUCAUCCUGGUCCACCAAAAGUUUUGUUGAAGGUCUUGGUAUAUUUUAGUACUACCAGGAUGAAUAGAAAACUUGGAUAGAUGUGCUUCAUCAAGGAUUUGUUUACAAAGUCGAUGAUCCUUAGGCACAACAAUACGAUGGUUGAACCAUAGAAUUCCUUGAUGAUCAAUGUGGAAACACCUAUAUUUCGCUUCUCCCUGUGAUAGUUUCUGUUUGAUAAUUUUGAUACCUUCAUCAUGCAUUUGCGACAUGAUGAUUUGAUCUUGAAGGGUAGGUUCAAUAGGUAUGAAAUUUAGACUACCUUGAGGAAUGAUUUCCAGAUUGAUUUUUCUCAUCUGACAGCAGAGAGUUUCACUGAAGACGUCGAUAGAUAAACAAUGGCAAUGUGCCUUGCGGCUUAGUGCAUCUGCAACCACAUUGGCCUUGCCAGGAUGGUAGUGUACCUCAAGGUCGUAGUCUUUGAUCAGUUCUAACCAACACCUUUGCCUCAUAUUUAGGUCAGCUUGGGUGAAGAUAUAUUUGAGGCUCUUAUGGUCAGUGUAAAUGUUACACUUAGCGCCCAUAAGAUGAUGUCUCCAAAUCUUGAGAGCAUGAAUAACAGCUGCCAACUCAAGAUCAUGGGUUGGAUAAUUUUAUUCAUGAUUCCGGAAUGCUCUGGAUGCAUAAGCAAUGACCCGGUUGUUUUGCAUAAGGACACAACCAAGUUCGGUUCCGGAAGCAUCGCAAUAGACAUCAAAAGGUUGGGUACUGUCUGGCUGAGCUAGUACUGGAGCAGUUGUUAGAAGUUUUCUUAGUGUGCGAAAUGCUUCUUCACACUUAUCAUCCCAAUGGAAUUUAACCUCCUUCUUAAGUAGCUCAGUCAUGGGUUUGGCUAUUUUGGAGAAGUCUGGAAUGAAUCGGCGAUAAUUUCUUGCCAAUCCAAGGAAACUACGGAUUUGAUGGACUGAAGUUGGAGGCUUCCAAUCCAUAACUUCCUGAACUUUGGUUGGAUCAACCGAUCUGCCUUCACUAGAGAUAGUAUGUCCCAAAAAUUUCACACUAUCAAGCCAGAAUUCACAUUUAGAGAAUUUGGCGUAAAGGCGAUGAUCAUGUAGUCAUUGAAGAACGACACGUAUAUGAUUGGCAUGAUCUUCAUCAGUUUUGGAGUAUAUCAGAAUAUCGUCGAUGAAAACCACGAUGAAUUUAUCGAGCUCCGGCAUAAAGACUGAAUUCAUAAGGUACAUGAAGUAUGUCGGUGCAUUAGUGAGUCCAAAAGACAUAACCAGAUAUUCAUAUAGUCCAUAUCUGAUCGAGAAAGCUGUUUUUGGAAUAUCACUGGGCUUAAUUUUGAUCUGAUGGUAACCAGAGCGUAGAUCAAUCUUAGAGAAGACUUUGGCUCCAGCUAAUUGGUCGAAUAAGAUAUCAAUGCGAGGAAGAGGGUACUUAUUUUUGAUAGUGACCGCAUUGAGUGGACGGUAGUCGACACAUAGCCUUAAGCUAUUAUCCUUUUUCUUUACAAAGAGAGCAGGGCAUCCCCAAGAUGAAGCACUUGGGCGUAUGAAACCCUUGUCAAGAAGAUCUUGAAGUUGUAUCUUUAGCUCAGCUAAUUCAUUGGGCGGCAUUCGAUAGGGUCUCUUGGAAAUAGGAGCUAUGCCAGGUUGGAGCUCAAUAAUGAACUCGAUAUCCCGAUCUGGUGGCAUUCCAGGCAAAUCAUCUGGAAAGACAUCUGGAUACUCACAGACUAUAGGUAUGUCUUCUAGUUGAAUGUCUGUGGUUGCAUAAACACAAGAGUGAAAAUACUCUUGUUGGGGUAGAUAGAGGGUAGUGGCUCCAUCAUAUGGUGAAUUAAUUUCAAUAACUCGGGAGGCGAUAUCUAACAACACCCUAUGUUUUGUCAUCCAAUCCAUCCCAAGUAUGAUAUCCAUACCCUCUAAAGGAAGUAAAACCAAAUUAGUUUUCAUCAUCAUACUACCCAUUUGUAUUGGCACAUAUCUAGUCAAUUGAUUGGACUCAAUCUUUCCUCUAGGGGUUGAGAUCAUGUAUGAUCCUUUGGCUUGAAAAGAAUUAAGUCCCACUCGGGAACCACAUUUGUUGCUAAUAAAGCUAUGGGUUGCACCGGAAUCAAAUAGGAUAAUAACGGGUUUAUAGUUGAUAGAAAAUGUACCUGUCAUUAUGGGGGCUCCUUCUGGAAGUUCUGCAAGGGUGGUGAAGUUGACUUGCCCUUGUCGGACUUGCAUUACACGCUUCUUUCCCUUGCCCUGAUUGUUCUGAUUAGAAUUCUGCCCCUGGAGAGGCUUCUUGGGUUGAGGACAAUCCCUGAUGAAGUGAUCCGCACUCCUGCAAUUGAAACAGCGAUAAGUGCUGCUUCUUUGUUGAAAUUGUUGAGCAUUUGGCCGUGGACCAAACUAUUGCGGCUGUUGCGAAGGCACGGGAGGUCCAUAACCUCCUUGCUAUUGGGGCGGCCAGAAAACAAAUCUGCCAGGUGGGGUAUUCCGCUGUGGUGCUCUGAUCUGUGCGUUGGGAACCACACGAUACCUUGGUGACUGAGCACUCGAGGGUCCUUCCGUUUCUUCUCGGCAUGAUGUGCCGUGAUGCAAUCCUCCUGGGUUAGUGCCAUAUUAACCAGCUAACUGAAAGUAUUAGCCUUGAUAAGAUUCAGGUGUUCCUUGAGCUUGUUUCUUGGCAUCAUUGUCCGCAUGAUAGCCUGCAUAUUGGCACAGAUGAUUAAAAGUCUGUGCAUACUGCAGUACCGUGCGAGUGCCUUGGGUGAGUGCCAAGAAUUCGUUCAACUUCCGCUCCAGUAGUCCUUCUGGAAUGUAAUGUGCCCUGAAGGCAGUCCGAAAUUCUUCCCAAGAGAUAACAUGUCCCACGGGCUGCAUGGCGCAAAAAUUAUCCCACCAUAUGCGGGCAGCACCACGAAGUUGCUGGGCAGCAAAGUGAGCUUUGCUUGAGUCCGCACAUGGUAUAGUAAGGAGAGCGAACUUCGAUUCAAUGAUAUGAAGCCAGGUAUCGGCAUCCAAAGGUUCUUCAGCUUUACUGAAAAAUGAAGGCUGGGUACUGAAGAAAUCCUGGUAGCUAGCCACUUGGGGAUUGAGGUCAUCACGACCUCCUCGUGAUUGUUGACGAUGUUGGUUCUGUUGUGCCUGAACUAGGAGAUUAAGAAGUUUUGUCUGCCGAGCCAUGACCUCGGCGAGAUUUAGAGGUGGUGGUGGCGGCUGUUGGGAACCGCUAGCCUGGUCUGGCCUGAAACCUUCAGGAGUUCCACGCGUAGCGCCAACCAUCUGAAAAACAUGGAAGUUGUCCAUUACAUCAGAAUAUCCUUACUUCCCUUUUCAGAAUAUACCGCACAGAGAGAAAAACAUAUGAAGAUAGCACAACAGAUUGACAGAUCGAUAGAUAGCUGAACAAAACUUAAGUUUAUAGAUCAUAACUGGUGGUCUGUAUAUUACAUCGUGGUGAUCUAUUGAUUACCAUACAUCCUACUCUUGCCACAUAUAGUACAACAAGUGGCCCUUAGGUCAAGCUAGAUUACACAUUCCUUAUGUCACACUACUCUAUACUACAUACAUCUAAGAUAUCGGUGACAAGGAUGAAUUGGAAGUCGUCGAGGUUGCCCACAGAGGACUGGCUGCCAGAUGAAGAAUGGCUGCUGGAUAAAGAAUGAUUGAACUGAGGAUUGGGUUCUGGUCACAGCAAAAACGGGAGAUCAGAUAAUAGAUUUGGCGGAUGAAAUAAGGAUACUGAGAUACUAAACUCUAUGGCUGCAUGACUAUUUCUAGACUGCACUUUGUGGAUAACCACACUCUAAGUAUCCCCAUCACAUUAUGAACAUGAGUUUUAAUUUGCAAUCAAUUUUAAGAUGCAUGCAUGCACUAACGUCCUCACAAACCCAAAUAGCUGCCAAAUAUUUUUGGACUUACGUGGUUAGUUACGGUGGCAUAAUACAGAUAUGUCUCUCCCUAUAAUAUCUAGUCGACACAUCCUAACCGUUCAGAACCUAUCGAAUCGUGGUUAGCGUUCCUGCAGAAAACCACAAUACAUAUAUUGUAACACCCCGAAGUGCUACUAAACUACACAAGCGACAACUAAAAGGAGAUGAAAAAUUGGCAGCAUCUCCUUUGAAACUAGAGCUAUCGCGGAAGCAAACACAAAUAGAUCAAUAUAAGGAACAAGCUAGCAUGGAUAGCACCCCUGAAUGAAAAUGAAUAGCUAAAAGAAUGGAACCGGCAGCGACCACAACUUUAAGUUGUUCUUAACCAAACUGAUUAUUACACUAACUAGUUGCUAUAAAUGGAUUUCUAAAAGAUGAAGUGUAGACGUGCUGCUACUCUCCCUUCCCACAAGAAUAAGCAUCAAACGCAUGAAAAGAGUGAAUAUACAAGGGGUGAGAUGAAACAUCUCCACAAGUGGACUGUUUCGACAAGCUAUUUAAAAAAAAAACAGGUUUACUUAGCAAUGAUUUGCAUUCAACAUAUAAAAUCAAGACGAUAAACUUCAAUUCAACUUCAAUAAUAUGGAUGCAUAUUGAAUGCCAUGCACUUCCUUCUGUCCGCAUACCCAACAAGGUAUGGAGCUGCAUCCGAAGAUGCUGUACCGGUACAAGUCGGACCAUAAGAUCACGACAUACUUCAAUGCAAAUGCAUAAUGCGAUGCUUAUGUAAUGCUGCAACAUUAAUAUACUUUCAACUUCAAAUAUGUGGAUUUCCACAUAAAACAUACUCAAUUAUAAGUCUUCAUGGUUCACUUCUCAAGAUAGAUGAAUUAUAAAUAUGAUUGAGAAUAUGUAUAGAAUUAUAUGAACUUCAAAUAUUAACUUUGGAUGAUAAAAAUAGCAAGGCAAAACGUAGCCAACCACAGCUACAAAUCCACUUGCCUUAACCGACGAAGCAAGCAAGAGGGACUCAAGUCCGAUCUGGAGCACUACCACCUGUUCGGAGAAUACAAUUCAUUACAAACACUUCAAAUAUCAAGCACAAGUAAACAGCGCAUCGUCCCUACGGUCCAUUCCGACAGCCGGCUAUUAAUCCCUAGGGAACCCCAAAACAGCAGCUGCAGUUGUCUUUUGGUAUCUUUAAUUUUGUAAUAGCUACAACAGUAACGAGGACUCUAUGAGCAUCUACAGUUCACAAGCUACAACUUUUGUAUUCAGACCGAAUCCAAAUUCCACCAUCUUCUAUGUCUAAUCCUCGCUACAAAGUUGCAGAGUCAAUCUGUUCAUGACAGCAACAUUGCUGUUUUGGAAAAAUCAUAACUCUCAGACCAAUUAUCCAAAUUGGGUGAUUAAGCUACCUGGGGAAAGAACAACUAUCCCACUACAUCACACUCCAUAGAAAUAGGGCUUGAUUCUGCCUGCAGCAUAUUUUAAAUUGCAUUGCAAAACUGAAAGUGGCACUGAAAUACGUCUGAAACUGUAAUUUGACAGGAUGAGACACCUGACUUCGGAAGCCUAUAACUCUUAAACCACUCAUCCAAACUGCGCAAAUAAACCAUCCUUGGAAAGAUAAUCUAACAUACUAGAAAACACUCUAUAGAAGCCAGGGCUGAUCCGGCCUCUAAGGCACUUCAUAACGACGCCGAAAAUCAAGCACUGCAACUGAAAAAUCAAAAACUGACAGAACCAUACACCAGACUUCAGGAGGCCAUAAUUCCCUCCAAUCUCAACGAAAAAUUGCAAAUGACUACUCUAUAGAAAGCUUGUAACAAGAUCUACAAUUUAUUCCAUUGACACACUUCACGAAUCUGCACGUACAAGGCCCCGGCAAUAGAUUAAUGCUACAGCAUGAAUUAGUACAACAGGCAGCGGCAACUUCAAUCCCUAAUCCAACGUAAUCCCGCCAGUAAACAACAUAACCAAAAUUAUACAGUGCCUAAAUGGAUGGAGGACCUCUAUCUCUCUCCUUCUCAUGGAUUCCUUGGUUACCCCAGCCCGAACUAAAUAGAUGGCAAGAGCAGUAGCAGCGACAGCUACAAGAUUCAUUCAAAAUCAAGGGAAAACCUUACCCGUACACGCUGGUCACCAGAGAAUUGGGGAUCUCCAACAGAUAGCGUUCAGAUCAGCAGGAGAAAAGUGAGAGGCAGCGUAGGGAAGGGAGGACUCCCUGGCGGCGUCCAAGAGGAAGCAAUCGGGAAGGGAAAAAGAUUGGGGAGGAGUCACGAUAGC